AAGAUUUUAAGUUAUAUUUCCUAAACUCUAAACCUUCAAAGUUUAAUAAAUAAUUUUUUAUAAAUCUUA
rnacentral:tRNA from 1 species